AUUGAACGCUGGCGGCAGGCCUAACACAUGCAAGUCGAGCGGAUGAAGGGAGCUUGCUCCUGGAUUCAGCGGCGGACGGGUGAGUAAUGCCUAGGAAUCUGCCUGGUAGUGGGGGAUAACGUCCGGAAACGGGCGCUAAUACCGCAUACGUCCUGAGGGAGAAAGUGGGGGAUCUUCGGACCUCACGCUAUCAGAUGAGCCUAGGUCGGAUUAGCUCGUUGGUGGGGUAAAGGCCUACCAAGGCGACGAUCCGUAACUGGUCUGAGAGGAUGAUCAGUCACACUGGAACUGAGACACGGUCCAGACUCCUACGGGAGGCAGCAGUGGGGAAUAUUGGACAAUGGGCGAAAGCCUGAUCCAGCCAUGCCGCGUGUGUGAAGAAGGUCUUCGGAUUGUAAAGCACUUUAAGUUGGGAGGAAGGGCAGUAAGUUAAUACCUUGCUGUUUUGACGGUACCAACAGAAUAAGCACCGGCUAACUUCGUG
rnacentral:rRNA from 1 species